GCCUCCGGCGGGGGCGGGGCCCUCGGCCUCCACCGCGCGCUGUCCUUUGCUCAGAGGGGCUUUAAUUUGGGAAAGCGGUUUCGGGGUCUUUGUCCGCCUCCCUUUUUAAAGUGUCGUGAUCUCUAUGAACUUAAGCUGCGAGGUGGGAAUCUUUGGUUCUGCUAUUUCUACUUUGAGAUUUCUUUGCGGCAGAAAACAGGACUCAAGAAAAACUGCUGUUUUUCCUCGGAGUAUGAGUCUCUCAGUCGGAAUAGCAGCCCAGACCCGCAAGCAGGCAAGAGAGAACACAAACAGGAAGAGCAGCAGAGAGAGGGAGAAGCAGGCUCCCAGCGGGGACUGGAUCCCAGGACCCUGGCAUCAGGACCCUCAAAGGCAGAUGUUUAACUGACUGAGCCACCCAGGCUCCCCAAGAUGUUAAGUUUGAAAGAAGACAGACAGAGGAUAUUCUUCGAAGGGUCCUGCUUUAAUCUUCCCUGAAGGAAGUAAAAGAAAACACCUUCUUACUGUCUAACGAAAACGCCACAUCAGUUUAUUCAGGAAGACAAACUUUCUCCCUGUAGUCAAUCUUAGAAAAUAAUUCAUUGUAUAGCUCUUUAUUUAAAAGACAUCAAAUUAUAGAAUUCACUCAUUCAUUCACUACAAGCCAUGUACUCAUUCAGGCCUAUAGCAUGCCCUGCCCAAGGCACUGCAUAUAAAAUAUAAAUUUAUACUGCAUAUAAAACCAGUAAAGUCUCUGGCUUCAUGAAACUUACUUUCUAGAAAACAGGGCAACUGUUUUAGUGAUUUUACAAAAACUGCAGGAAUAAUUUUCAUGUGGAUGUUUUUCCUUUGUCGACUCUUAAUAUAGCUAAUUAUAAUCUGGCAAAGGUAUUACUGUUGAGAGCUAAAUUUGACAUUAAGUUUACCAAAUAUAUAGAAACUGAGGGUUGGGUAGCCUUUAGGCAACAUAUCUCAAAUAUCAGUGCACUUUUUAAAAUAGGUAGAUUAAAGUCACUUUCAAAUUGAGGUCUCUGGUAGGUGACAAAAGGACAGUAUUCUGGGCUGGUGAUUACAAAGCUCUGUUCAAUGAAAUGGCCAAGGAAUAAUACUACUCCACCACAUGAGCCUCAUGAUAUGCACUCCUAAUGCCUACAUUUUUGGGUCUAGUACUAUUUUUCACUUGAAGGAAACGCAAUAUGCCUUAGAAAAAUGGCUGAUUCAUGUCUGGGUCUGGGAAGAUACAGGUAGUCCUGAGGGGAUGGCAAGAAUGAGUUGGGAGUCAAAUGGCUUGGCGUGGCUGAUGAAGAAUAAACUUUUGAGUUCCAGAGAGCAGCCUGAGAGGGAAGAGGAGAAAAAUCAGAGCAAAUGGGGAGAGAGGAGCUGAGCUCAAGGGUAAGGACAAGGUGGGUGGGGGGACCCUGUGCGGAGGAGCCUGUGAAAACUUCCUGUUGUUGGGAAUGGCUGGAUCAGUGGAACAGGGAGAUGGGAUGUUCGCGGGAGUUCGUCCUGCAGUGUUCCCCUCUCUAUCAGCACCAUCCUGCUGUCCUUGGAAAAUGAACCUGAGCUGUGGUUUAGGUCCUACCUGAGGCGGGAGAGACUGAGGGAGGGAAGAGUCGGGCGCCAGGCCCAACUGCCCAGGAAUUGAGCCGCUCCAAGCGAGUGAGGUGUUGACUGGAACCAGGGGAGGCAACAGGUUCAAGGGAGACCCGGGCAUCAGGGCCAGUCGGAGUGGGAGCCAAGUGGAGGGAGGGCGAGACCUUCACAGGAGGGACGAGGUCAGACAGUUGGGGCGGCGCUGGGCAGGAGGGAGUGAAGGGGGUGGAGAGCGAGGGGCGGUCACGUUGAGA